UCAGCUGAUCUUUCAUUCGGAAUUUUUGUUUUCAUUUCAAAAGUGCCAAACAAACUAAAUGAAAUGAGCAGUGAUGAAGAAAUUGAUAAAUUAUUCCUUAAUAUUAUAGCAUUAUAUGCUAAAAAAAGCAAUUCAAGCGAACUAGGCGAUGUCGUGUCCAUUCUAUUAAUGUUAAUAGGUUCCAAAACGGAUACCAUCAAAAAACGUUCCUGAAAAUGAAAGAUAUGGAUGAACAAGCAUUGUUUGCCCAUAGAAGAAUGAAUAGGAAGUUGUAUGAUACUUUUUUAAAGUUAAUGGCACCUUAAAUGUGUAAAUUCAAGGAACAAAUCCAUGCCGAAGAGCGUUUGUCCCUCACACUUCUGUACUUAGCAUACGGAAUUCCUUUCAAAAAAUUAGCAUGGAGCUACAAAAUCGGAAAGACCACUUUGAGAAACAUAGUGCUGGAGACAUGUGAGGCUAUUUGGGAAAUCCAAUUUAUCUGAGUGAACCCACGCAACAACAGUAUAAAGAGAUCACGACCGAAUUUGCGCAAA